UACGGAGGGUGCGAGCGUUGUUCGGAAUCACUGGGCGUAAAGGGCGUGUAGGCGGCCCGCUAAGUCUGAUGUGAAAGCCCGGGGCUCACCCCCGGAAGUGCAUUGGAAACUGGCGGACUCGAGUCCCGGAGAGGAGAGUGGAAUUCCUGGUGUAGCGGUGAAAUGCGCAGAUAUCAGGAAGAACACCCGUGGCGAAGGCGGCUCUCUGGGACGGUACUGACGCUGAGACGCGAAAGCGUGGGGAGCGAACAGG
rnacentral:rRNA from 1 species